CACACCAACGUACAGUACACACUCGCUCUUCAUCAUCAUCAUCAUUCACACAAUACGACUCUGUGAGUCUAUCUUCCUUAUAUGCACACACACACACACACACACGCACACGCACACACACACAUAUACACACACACACACACCGAAAAAGAGUUGGGCUCCUAUUCAAAAACAGUGUCCAGAUUGCAAUUUGGACACUUUUCAAUGAACUGCCAAUGUGUUUUUCCAUUAAAGCUGUGGAAGAAUCUCACAUUUUUUGGGAUAAGAUGGGAGAGGAAAAGGCAUGUGGUUUGUGUCCCCAAUGGUAGCCUACUCCCUGUGUAGUGCUAUAGGGCCCCUUUGGGCCCCUGGUCAAAAGUAUAUAGGGAAUAGGCUGCCAACAGGGUUCAAUUACAGUGCCAAUAGGAUGCCGACAGGAUUCAAUUACAGUGCCAAUAGGCUGCCAAUAGGGUUCAAUUACAGUGCCAAUAGGCUGCCAAUAGGGUUCAAUUACAGUGCCAAUAGGCUGCCAAUAGGGUUCAAUUACAGUGCCAAUAGGCUGCCAACAGGGUUCAAUUACAGUGCCAAUAGGCUGCCAAUAGGGACGCAAGUCAUGGCGUUCAUUCGCUGCAAUGUCUCAUCUUCUCCUCGCAGCUCGGCGGUUCAUUUGCAUAAUAUAUUCAGGGUUCUAUUUUUUAUUUGUUUUGCUAAAUAGCAUUUCCUUUUUAUUAUAAAGCAGAAACCCUGUAAAGAGAAAGUGGUGUCUCUACAACACCACAGUCAGAGAGUCGUCGUCUCACCAGUCUGAUCUGUCACUGCAGUCAGAGAGUCGUCGUCUCACCGAGAGUCGUCGUCUCACCAGUCUGAUCUGUCACUGCAGUCAGAGAGUCGUCGUCUCACCAGUCUGAUCUGUCACUGCAGUCAGAGAGUCGUCGUCUCACCGAGAGUCGUCGUCUCACCAGUCUGAUCUGUCACUGCAGUCAGAGAGUCGUCGUCUCACCAGUCUGAUCUGUCACCGCAGUCAGAGAGUCGUCUCACCAGUCUGAUCUGUCACCGCAGUCAGAGAGUCGUCUCACCAGUCUGAUCUGUCACCGCAGUCAGAGAGUCGUCUCACCAGUCUGAUCUGUCACCACAGUCAGAGAGUCGUCUCACCAGUCUGAUCUGUCACCACAGCCAGAGUCGUCGUCUCACCAGUCUGAUCUGUCACCGCAGUCAGAGAGUCGUCUCACCAGUCUGAUCUGUCACCGCAGUCAGAGAGUCGUCUCACCAGUCUGAUCUGUCACCACAGCCAGAGAGUCGUCUCACCAGUCUGAUCUGUCACCGCAGUCAGAGAGUCGUCUCACCAGUCUGAUCUGUCACCGCAGUCGGAGAGUUGUCUCACCAGUCUGAUCUGUCACCGCAGUCAGAGAGUCGUCUCACCAGUCUGAUCUGACACCGCAGUCAGAGAGUCGUCGUCUCACCAGUCUGAUCUGACACCGCAGUCAGAGAGUCGUCUCACCAGUCUGAUCUGACACCGCAGUCAGAGAGUCGUCGUCUCACCAGUCUGAUCUGACACCGCAGUCGGAGAGUCGUCUCACCAGUCUGAUCUGUCACCGCAGUCAGAGAGUCGUCUCACCAGUCUGAUCUGUCACCGCAGUCGGAGAGUUGUCUCACCAGUCUGAUCUGUCACCGCAGUCAGAGAGUCGUCUCACCAGUCUGAUCUGACACCGCAGUCAGAGAGUCGUCGUCUCACCAGUCUGAUCUGACACCGCAGUCAGAGAGUCGUCUCACCAGUCUGAUCUGACACCGCAGUCAGAGAGUCGUCGUCUCACCAGUCUGAUCUGACACCGCAGUCGGAGAGUCGUCUCACCAGUCUGAUCUGUCACCGCAGUCAGAGAGUCGUCUCACCAGUCUGAUCUGUCACCACAGCCAGAGAGUCGUCUCACCAGUCUGAUCUGACACCGCAGUCAGAGAGUCGUCGUCUCACCAGUCUGAUCUGUCACCGCAGUCAGAGAGUCGUCUCACCAGUCUGAUCUGUCACCGCAGUCAGAGAGUCGUCGUCUCACCAGUCUGAUCUGUCACCGCAGUCGGAGAGUCGUCUCACCAGUCUGAUCUGACACCGCAGUCGGAGAGUCGUCUCACCAGUCUGAUCUGUCACCGCUGCAUGUGCUUCUAUAGACAGGGUUGUUGACAUCAAGCUUUAGAGCGCAGGUCAAGGGGUCAGAAAACAAACAUCCCAGCUUAAUGAACAGGUACAGCCAUAAUCAAGGCACAAAGAUCUACAAGUAUAUUUGUUUUUCAUUCAAUAAAGUAGUUGUACAAAAUAAUAUUACAUUUGACAGUCUGUACAGGAUAAAUCAAGAAGCC
rnacentral:lncRNA from 1 species